rnacentral:rRNA from 1 species
CACGUAGUUAGCCGGGGCUUCUUAGUCAGGUACCGUCAUUUUUUUCUUCCCUGCUGAUAGAGCUUUACAUACCGAAAUACUUCUUCACUCACGCGGCGUCGCUGGAUCAGGGUUUCCCCCAUUGUCCAAUAUUCCCCACUGCUGCCUCCCGUAGGAGUUUGGGCCGUGUCUCAGUCCCAAUGUGGCCGUCCACCCUCCCAGGCCGGCUACUGAUCGUCGCCUUGGUGGGCCGUUACCUCACCAACCAGCUAAUCAGACGCGGGUCCAUCAUAUACCACCGUAGUUUUUCACACUGUCUCAUGCAAUACUGUGCGCUUAUGCGGUAUUAGCACCUAUUUCUAAGUGUUAUCCCCCUGUAUAUGGCAGGUUACCCACGCGUUACUCACCCGUCCGCCACUAAGUCAUCAACAUUUCCACUCUUAGCAAGCUAAUUGCUUCAAAAAUGAUGACUCCGUUCGACUUGCAUGUGUUAAGCACGCCGCCAGCGUUCAUCCUGAGCCAGG